rnacentral:rRNA from 1 species
AAUCAACGCUGGCGGCGUGCCUCAGACAUGCAAGUCGAACGUGAAAGUUCCUUCGGGGAUGAGUAAAGUGGCGCACGGGUGAGUAACACGUGGGUAAUUUGCCUUCGGGUGGGGAAUACCAACCGGAAACGGUUGUUAAUACCGCAUGGUGCAGCGGCUCCGAUUGGAGACAGUUGUUAAAGCGGGGGAGCGGAGCAAUCCGUCCUCGCGCCUGAAGAGAAGCCCGCGGCGGAUUAGGUAGNGGUGAGGUAAUGGCUCACCAAGCCUGCGAUCCGUAACCGACCUGAGAGGGUGGUCGGUCACACUGACACUGACAUACGGGUCAGACUCCUACGGGAGGCAGCAGUCGGGAAUUUUGGGCAAUGGGCGCAAGCCUGACCCAGCAACGCCGCGUGAAGGA